GUUGGAUUUAUUGGGGGUGAGGGGGGAGAUAAGGCGGUGCGCCCCUCCUAGCCUCAAAAAAGGGGGACCCCUCUCCUUACAUGAUAUACCUAUUAAUAAUAUAUCGAUCCCUGAAAAUAUUCGUCUAAUAAUUCCGAUCAACAAUGAUUAAUGAUUUUAUCCAAUAUUGCCUAGAAUGUUAUAGAAAUUUAUUUUGCAAAAUUUUCUGUAUAGAUAUAUGAAAAAU